rnacentral:rRNA from 1 species
GGGGAAUUUUGGACAAUGGGGGCAACCCUGAUCCAGCCAUUCCGCGUGAGUGAAGAAGGCCUUCGGGUUGUAAAGCUCUUUCAGCUGGAACGAAACGGUACGCACUAAUAUUGUGUGCUAAUGACGGUACCAGCAGAAGAAGCACCGGCUAACUACGUGCCAGCAGCCGCGGUAAUACGUAGGGUGCGAGCGUUAAUCGGAAUUACUGGGCGUAAAGCGUGCGCAGGCGGAUUGUUAAGCAAGAUGGGAAAUCCCCGGGCUUAACCGGGGAAUGGCAUUUUGAACUGGCAGUCUAGAGUGUGUCAGAGGGGGGUAGAAUUCCACGUGGAGCAGUGAAAUGCGUAGAGAUGUGGAGGAAUACCGAUGGCGAAGGCAGCCCCCUGGGAUAACACUGACGCUCAUGUACGAAAGCGUGGGUAGCAAAC